AGAGGUCACAAGUUUGUGGGCCAUAGUAGAAGCAUUCGAAGUGCAGCCAUGUCAGGUUCCAAUAAAUCUGUGAAUCCUGCU
rnacentral:ribozyme from 1 species